rnacentral:misc_RNA from 1 species
GUAUUGAGCACCACAGGUGCAGCAGAGAAAUGGGUUACACCAAGGUGAGCUAUGGCGGAAUAAACAGCCUUUGCAGUUACCUGUCUAAGGCAUAUGUUGGUCCCACAAAUUGCUGCAAGUGUCCAAGUGAAACACCAACCAUUACAGUGAAACAUUGGUAGAGUCCAAAGGUACACAGCUCCCUCUUUCAUACUCCAAACAACGGCGUUACUUAAAGCCAUAAGAUAUGCACCACGAUGAUGAAGCACCACUCCUUUAGGACUAGCUGUCGUACCAGAAGUAUAGCCCAGAGCAAUACUCUGCCACUCAUCCUGUGGUGGCUUCCAUAGGAAGUCUGGGUCACCAGUUUCCAAGAAAUUAUCAUAUUCAACUGCCCCUUUAUCUAAAGCAUAUUGAAGUGGGGCGGGAUCACAAUUUUUAUCAGCGAUAACUACAAUAAGUGGUCGAUUUGAUUUUCCUUGACUCUUAUCUUCUAGAAUUUUUAAAGCUUCCUCAGCCAAUGGAAAGAAUUCUUGGUCCACCAUGACAACUGCAGCUGAGCAAUGGCCCAAAAGAAAAGCAAUUGUGUCUGCAUUUAAACGAACAUUGACAGCAUUUAGAACAGCUCCAGCCAUUGGAAUUCCAAAAUGAGCUUCAUACAUAGCAGGAACAUUUGGUGCAAUCACAGCAACGGUGGUUCCGAAAGUGAUGGAGCGUUUGGUAAGAGCAGAAGCCAGUUGAGAGCAACGGCGAUAAGUCUGAAGCCAUGUGUAUUGAACAGAGCCAUGAAUUAAUGAUUUUCUGUUAGGAUAAAUCAUGGCGGCCCUUUCCAAGAAGGAUAAGGGCGUGAGAGCUGUGUAGUUCGCCGCAUUCUUUGGAAGAUGAUCGAUAUCUCUCUCCACCACCAUUCUCU